rnacentral:rRNA from 1 species
CUACGGGGUGCUGCAGUGAGUAAUAUUUCCCCAUGGGGGGAACCCUGAUGCAGCAACGCCGCGUGGAGGAUGACGCCUUUCUUUUUUUAAACUCCUUUUAUAUGUCAAGAAAAUGACGGUAGCAUAUGAAUAAGCACCGGCUAACUCCGUGCCAGCAGCCGCGGUAAUACGGAGGGUGCAAGCGUUACUCGGAAUCACUGGGCGUAAAGGACGCGCAGGCGGGUUGGAAAGUCAGGUGUGAAAUCCUACAGCUUAACUGUAGAACUGCACUUGAAACUUCUAAUCUAGAGUAUGGGAGGGGAGAUGGGAUUAGUGGUGUAGGGGUAAAAUCCGUAGAUAUCACUAGGAAUACCUAAAGCGAAGGCGAUCUCCUGGAACAUUACUGACGCUAAGGCGUGAAAGCGUGGGGAGCAAACAGGAUUAGAUACCCCUGUAGUC